rnacentral:rRNA from 1 species
GAUGAACGCUGGCGGCGUGCCUAAUACAUGCAAGUCGAGCGAACAGACGAGGAGCUUGCUCCUCUGACGUUAGCGGCGGACGGGUGAGUAACACGUGGAUAACCUACCUAUAAGACUGGGAUAACUUCGGGAAACCGGAGCUAAUACCGGAUAAUAUAUUGAACCGCAUGGUUCAAUAGUGAAAGACGGUUUUGCUGUCACUUAUAGAUGGAUCCGCGCCGCAUUAGCUAGUUGGUAAGGUAACGGCUUACCAAGGCAACGAUGCGUAGCCGACCUGAGAGGGUGAGCGGCCACACUGGAACUGACACACGGUCCAGACUCCGACGGGAGGCAGCAGUAGGGAAUCUUCCGCAAGGGGCGAAAGCCUGACGGAGCAACGCCGCGUGAGUGAUGAAGGUCUUCGGAUCGUAAAACUCUGUUAUUAGGGAAGAACAAAUGUGUAAGUAACUAUGCACGUCUGGACGGUACCUAAUCAGAAAGCCACGGCUAACUACGU